rnacentral:rRNA from 1 species
CACGUAGGGCGCAAGCGUUGUCCGGAAUUAUUGGGCGUAAAGAGCUCGUAGGCGGUCUGUUACGUCUGCUGUGAAAACCCGGGGCUUAACCCUGGGCUUGCAGUGGAUACGGGCAGACUAGAGGCAGGUAGGGGAGAAUGGAAUUCCCGGUGUAGCGGUGAAAUGCGCAGAUAUCGGGAGGAACACCGGUGGCGAAGGCGGCCUUCUGGACAGUGACUGACGCUGAGACGCGAAAGCGUGGGGAGCAAACAGG